GAUGAACGCUGGCGGCGUGCCUAAUACAUGCAAGUCGAGCGAACGGACGAGAAGCUUGCUUCUCUGAUGUUAGCGGCGGACGGGUGAGUAACACGUGGAUAACCUACCUAUAAGACUGGGAUAACUUCGGGAAACCGGAGCUAAUACCGGAUAAUAUUUUGAACCGCAUGGUUCAAAAGUGAAAGACGGUCUUGCUGUCACUUAUAGAUGGAUCCGCGCUGCAUUAGCUAGUUGGUAAGGUAACGGCUUACCAAGGCAACGAUGCAUAGCCGACCUGAGAGGGUGAUCGGCCACACUGGAACUGAGACACGGUCCAGACUCCUACGGGAGGCAGCAGUAGGGAAUCUUCCGCAAUGGGCGAAAGCCUGACGGAGCAACGCCGCGUGAGUGAUGAAGGUCUUCGGAUCGUAAAACUCUGUUAUUAGGGAAGAACAUAUGUGUAAGUAACUGUGCACAUCUUGACGGUACCUAAUCAGAAAGCCACGGCUAACUACGUGCCAGCAGCUGCGGUAAUACGUAGGUGGCGAGCGUUAUCCGGAAUUAUUGGGCGUAAAGCGCGCGUAGGCGGUUUUUUAAGUCUGAUGUGAAAGCCCACGGCUCAACCGUGGAGGGUCAUUGGAAACUGGAAAACUUGAGUGCAGAAGAGGAAAGUGGAAUUCCAUGUGUAGCGGUGAAAUGCGCAGAGAUAUGGAGGAACACCAGUGGCGAAGGCGACUUUCUGGUCUGUAACUGACGCUGGUGUGCGAAAGCGUGGGGAUCAAACAGGAUUAGAUACCCUGGUAGUCCACGCCGUAAACGAUGAGUGCUAAGUGUUAGGGGGUUUCCGCCCCUUAGUGCUGCAGCUAACGCAUUAAGCACUCCGCCUGGGGAGUACGACCGCAAGGUUGAAACUCAAAGGAAUUGACGGGGACCCGCACAAGCGGUGGAGCAUGUGGUUUAAUUCGAAGCAACGCGAAGAACCUUACCAAAUCUUGACAUCCUUUGACAACUCUAGAGAUAGAGCUUUCCCCUUCGGGGGACAAAGUGACAGGUGGUGCAUGGUUGUCGUCAGCUCGUGUCGUGAGAUGUUGGGUUAAGUCCCGCAACGAGCGCAACCCUUAAGCUUAGUUGCCAUCAUUAAGUUGGGCACUCUAAGUUGACUGCCGGUGACAAACCGGAGGAAGGUGGGGAUGACGUCAAAUCAUCAUGCCCCUUAUGAUUUGGGCUACACACGUGCUACAAUGGACAACACAAAGGGCAGCGAAACCGCGAGGUCAAGCAAAUCCCAUAAAGUUGUUCUCAGUUCGGAUUGUAGUCUGCAACUCGACUACAUGAAGCUGGAAUCGCUAGUAAUCGUAGAUCAGCAUGCUACGGUGAAUACGUUCCCGGGUCU
rnacentral:rRNA from 1 species